GUACGCUGGCGGCACGCCUAACACAUGCAAGUCGAACGAAGUAGCAAUACUUAGUGGCAGACGGGUGAGUAACAUGUAGGUAUCUGCCCUUUGGCCUGGAAUAACACGAGGAAACUUGUGCUAAUACCGGAUAAGUCUUUACGGAGAAAGCUUUAUGCACCAUUGGAUGAGCCUGCACUUGAUUAGUUUGUUGGUGGGGUAAUGGCCUACCAAGACUGUGAUCAAUAGCUGAUUUGAGAGGAUGAUCAGCCACAUUGGGACUGAGACACGGCCCAAACUCCUACGGGAGGCAGCAGUAGGGAAUAUUGCACAAUGGAGGAAACUCUGAUGCAGCGAUGCCGCGUGAGUGAAGAAGGCCUUUGGGUUGUAAAGCUCUUUCGUCGGGGAAGAAAAUGACUGUACCCGAAUAAGAAGGUCCG
rnacentral:rRNA from 1 species